rnacentral:lncRNA from 1 species
AAUUGUUGGAGUUAGAGAGUGAAGAGGAGAGAAGCCGGAAAAUCCAGGGACUCCUGAAGUCGUGUGGGAAACCUGUCGAGGACUUCAUCCAGGAGCUGCUGGCAAAGCUUCAAGGCCUCCACAGGCAGCCCGGCCUCCGCCAGCCCAGCCCCUCCCACGACGGCAGCCUCAGCCCCCUCCAGGACCGGGCCCGGACUGCUCACCCCUGACCCUCUUGCACUCUCCCUGCCCCCCUGGACGCCGCCCAGCUUGCUUGUGUAUAAGUUAUAUUUAAUGGUUCUG